ncrna:unclassified sequences DTF805b RNA
ACGGAGGCCGCCGAAAAUCCAGAACAGAGUAGGCA